ACGGCUGGCAGGUGUAAAAGUGGGGGACGUUAUCGAAAGCCACCAAUACUCCAGGAAGGGCUCGUCCGGGAGUUGAACACGGGACCUCUCGCACCCUAAGCGAGAAUCAUACCCCUAGACCAACGAGCCACAUGAGAAAACCGAUGUACCCCAUGACUUGUUGUCUGGUGGCCCAUGUGAUGGCUGGCAGGUGUGAAAGUGGGGGACGUUAUCGAAGGCCACCAAUACUCCAGGAAGGGUUCGUCCGGGAGUUGAACCCGGGACCUCUCGCACCCUAAGCGAGAAUCAUACCACUAGACCAACGAGCCACAUGAGAAAACCGAUGUACCCCAUGACUUGUUGUCUGGUGGCCCAUGUGAUGGCUGGCAGGUGUAAAAGUGGGGGACGUUAUCGAAAGCCACCAAUACUCCAGGAAGGGCUCGUCCGGGAGUUGAACCCGGGACCUCUCGCACCCUAAGCGAGAAUCAUACCCCUAGACCAACGAGCCACAUGAGAAAACCGAUGUACCCCAUGACUUGUUGUCUGGUGGCCCAUGUGAUGGCUGGCAGGUGUAAAAGUGGGGGACGUUAUCGAAAGCCACCAAUACUCCAGGAAGGGCUCGUCCGGGAGUUGAACCCGGGACCUCUCGCACCCUAAGCGAGAAUCAUACCCCUAGACCAACGAGCCACAUGAGAAAACCGAUGUACCCCAUGACUUGUUGUCUGGUGGCCCAUGUGAUGGCUGGCAGGUGUAAAAGUGGGGGACAUCUUCGAAAGACACCUAUUCUACAGGAAGGGCUCGUCCGGGAGUUGACCCCGGGACCUCUCGCACCCGAAGCGAGAAUCAUAUCCCAAGACCAACGAGCCACAUUGGCAUCUUGAUGUAACCCAUGACUUGU